GUAGGUGGCAAGCGUUGUCCGGAAUUAUUGGGGCGUAAAGCGCGCGCAGGCGGUUCGUUUAAGUCUGAUGUGAAAGCCCACGGGCUCAACCGUGGAGGGUCAUUGGAAACUGGAGAACUUGAGUACAGAAGAGGAAAGCGGAAUUCCACGUGUAGCGGUGAAAUGCGUAGAGAUGUGAAGGAACACCAGUGGCGAAGGCGGCUUUCUGGUCUGUAACUGACGCUGAGGCGCGAAAGCGUGGGGAGCAAACAGGAUUAGAUACCCUGGUAGUCCACGCCGUAAACGAUGAGUGCUAAGUGUUAGGGGGUUUCCGCCCCUUAGUGCUGCAGCUAACGCAUUAAGCACUCCGCCUGGGGAGUACGGCCGCAAAGGCUG
rnacentral:rRNA from 1 species